CAAGCCAACUCAAGCUGCCUCAGCCACCUCAGCCAGCAGCUGAUUCCACUUUACAGCCCAUGUGGAAUUUGCCACAGGACUUCUGUUGAAUAUUUUGCUGUCUGUGUUUUGGGCCACAGACUUUCGGACUACUGGAAACAAUUUACUGAGAAUCUCCCUGGUGAUGUGUGUGAACUCAGGGAAACAGCUGUGUUUCAGCCAUGAUGUGCAGGGGGGUUGGACUCAAUGAUCUCCAGAUGCCACUUCCAACCCCUAACAUCCUGUGAUUUGGAUUGAUCAUGACAUAGACUAUACUUGAACAGAGUGAAGAUCUGGUGCCUCUACAACAAGAAGUCUAUGUACUUGUUGCGGAGGGGUGUUCUGCCACCUACGACGAUUUGUGGCAGAGGGGAGAAAUUAAUUGGUGCAAGAUAAUAUUCUACAAAAAUAUGUAUUUAUUGAACUCAAUAUUACAAACUCUUGCACCCCCAACCACUGUACAUUAAUAUUUAAGUGGAUUCUACAGUUAUGAAAACAUUAUCGGAUAAAUAUCUACAGUAACUUACUAAUAACUCACAAACAUUCAAACUAUAAACAGAGAGAGGAUUUUCCCCAUGGCAAAUACCGUAUGGGGUCUAUAUACUAUUUGCCCAGCAGAGUGGGCUGAAAACUCUCUGCUCUAUGGCAGAGG